rnacentral:lncRNA from 1 species
GGCAAUUCUUCGCUGAAGUCAUCAUGAGCUUUUUCCAACUCCUGAUGAAAAGGAAGGAACUCAUUCCCUUGGUGGUGUUCAUGACUGUGGCGGCGGGUGGAGCCUCAUCUUUCGCUGUGUAUUCUCUUUGGAAAACCGAUGUGAUCCUUGAUCGAAAAAAAAAUCCAGAACCUUGGGAAACUGUGGACCCUACUGUACCUCAAAAGGUCUCGGCUCCUGCAUACUGCAAGCUGGGUGCCUUCCUUCUACAGAACCCAUGCCCCCUUGCAAGGAAACCAUGGAAUUUCCCCAGGAGUCUUCGACAACUCCAGGCCACAGGAAGGUCACAAAUGGUCAGAAAAGGAAUGAAUUUGAAGGAGGAAGAACCAGCCCUGCCCACGUUGUCUGGGGCCCCUCCCAAGGGGACAGGAAAGCUCCACAAACAGGACCUGGAACAUCCAGGGAGCGUCUGGGCUGCAGGCCUUCCUGGCGGCCACGCCUUACCGAAAGGAGUCCUGACUCAGAGCUGCUGUGCCGUCCCUUCUCCUGUCCCUGCCUGGAAGAGGCCUAUCAGGUUGACCAAGCUUUGCUCCCACCUGUGGAUGAGAAGGGCAGGUGGCCGAGAGUGGGUGUGGAGGAGGAAGACUGGAUGCCAAUGAUCCUGAUCUCACUCUGUCACCAAGGCUGGAGUGCAGCAGCAGAAUUUCAGCUCACUGCAACCUCGACUUGCUGGGUUCAAGGGAUCUCCCAAGUAGCUGGGACUACAGGUGCACACCAUCAUGCCUGGCUAAUUUUUUGUAGGGAUGGGGUUUUACCAUGCUGCCCAGGCUGGUCUUGAACUUCUGAGUUCAAGCGAUCCUCCCUCCUGAGCCUCCUAAAGUGCUGGGAUUACAGGUUUAAAAAAUAUCCUGGACUUUGGAAAAUAUUCUUAUAUAAAGAAGCAAAAAGAGGAUGGAAUAGACUUGUGCUAACACUGAAACUCCAGUCAAGUUGUAAACUGAAAAAGAACGUGUUGAAACAAGGAAUUGCCCCAUAGCCUUCACAGGUGAGUAUGAUAGAUUAAUGAAUGGAAGUCCA